GGGCGGAUAGCUCAGCGGUAGAGCACUCGCUUCACACGCGAGGGGUCGUAGGUUCGAACCCUACUUCGCCCACCA
rnacentral:tRNA from 1 species